UCCUUCCGGACGCAGAUUAUCAUCAGGACGAAUCGGCUUCGGGCGCUCACCCGUACGAUAUUCUGGUCGCUCGGGAGCCUGGAAUUUUCCUUCCGAACGCAGAUUAUCCUCAGGUUUGAUUUGCUUCGGCCGCUCAGCAGGUCUGUAUUGAGGCUUUUCUGGCGAUGUGAAUUCUCCCUCUGGACGCAAAUUAUCCUCAGGACGAACCUGCUUCGGUCGCUCAGCAGGUCUGAAUGGAGACUUCUCUGGGCGCUCGAAGUCUCCUUCCGGACGCAGAUUAUCAUCAGGACGAAUUGGCUUCGGUCGCUCUCCUGAUCGAUAUUCUGG